GUUGGGGAUAUAACUCAGUUGGUAGAGUGCCUGCCUUGCAUGCACAAGGUCCUGAGUUCAAUCCCCAGCAACA
rnacentral:tRNA from 1 species